UGGGGAAUAUUGCACAAUGGGCGAAAGCCUGAUGCAGCAACGCCGCGUGAGUGAUGAAGGUCUUCGGAUUGUAAAGCUCUGUCUUUUGGGACGAUAAUGACGGUACCAAAGGAGGAAGCCACGGCUAACUACGUGCCAGCAGCCGCGGUAAUACGUAGGUGGCGAGCGUUGUCCGGAUUUACUGGGCGUAAAGGGUGCGUAGGCGGAUGUUUAAGUGAGAUGUGAAAUACCCGGGCUUAACUUGGGUGCUGCAUUUCAAACUGGAUAUCUAGAGUGCAGGAGAGGAGAAUGGAAUUCCUAGUGUAGCGGUGAAAUGCGUAGAGAUUAGGAAGAACACCAGUGGCGAGGGCGAUUCUCUGGACUGUAACUGACGCUGAGGCACGAAAGCGUGGGUAGCAAACAGGAUUAGAUACCCUGGUAGUCCACGCCGUAAACGAUGAGUACUAGGUGUAGGAGGUAUCGACCCCUUCUGUGCCGCAGUAAACACAUUAAGUACUCCGCCUGGGAAGUACGAUCGCAAGAUUAAAAC
rnacentral:rRNA from 1 species